AGCUGGCAGAGGGGCCCCAUCACAGACAAGCAUCCCCACACCAGACAAGCAGCUCCAAAGCACUAGGUUCAAAACCUCAACCAAGGCCGAACGGACCCACCCGGUGGCUGUGAGAGACGUCCCGCGAGGGACCUCCGGGAACGCACGAGACCGGACCAGGAUUGGCGGCGGCAGCAGCAAGGAGGCGGGGCCUAGACGGGGCCUGUCCCUCGCACGUGAUCCUACCCGCCAACUAGCUCCGGCGCCCGGAGCGUCAGCCAAUCCUCAAAGCUUUGGAAGCGCCUGCCCGGCAGUGCGGCUGAGCCAAUGGGCGGCCGCCUUACAGGCUCUUGGUGAUCGGGAUUCGCGGGUGCUGCCGGCUCUGGUGGCUGACGAAAGAGGAACCGGUAGUGAUUGGCUGUGGGACCCGGCACCCGGCUCCGCACCGGAGAGGAAAUCCGCCGGAAACCACUAGGGCUAAGCUUGCUGGGGUAGGCGCGCAGCCGCAGAGGUGGUCCGCUGCUGGCAGCCGGGGCGCUGGUGGCCGCUGAAGGUGGGCGGCAGGAGGCCUUUGUGAAGUCAGGCGGCUCCAGGUCGUCCUCCGGGUGCGGUCCCUACACCGCCUGCGUCACCUGGCGCGAGGGACUCAUUUCAGAUAUAGACUUCGCGGCCCACCCCAGCCUGCUGAAUCGGAAAUGCUGCGUUGAGCCAUAGGUGAUUAUUAUGCACCCUUAAAUUUAAGAAUUAGUCAUUCGGAGGUUUCUCUCAAUGGCGAACUUGAAAAUAAGUUCAGGAAAGCAGACAAUUGGGGCGGACCGACAGCCCUGAUUCCGAUGGUAAGAGCAGUGCGCUGGCUGUGAUCUUUCUGCCACCACCUUAAGGCCUCACUUAAACUCGGGACCUUCGUUGCAUCAUCUGUAGAAUGAAAUGAUGCUCUUCGAUCUACCUUCUCGUGGUGGUGAUGUGAUGAUAAAAAUUGAAUAGUGAGAAACCCA